AGGUAGUGACAAUAAAUACUGAUACAGGGCUCUUUUGGGUCUUGUAAUUGGAAUGAGUACAAUUUAAACCUCUUAACGAGGAACAAUUGGAGGGCAAGUCUGGUGCCAGCAGCCGCGGUAAUUCCAGCUCCAAUAGCGUAUAUUAAAGUUGUUGCAGUUAAAAAGCUCGUAGUUGAACCUUGGGCCUGGCUGGCAGGUCCGCCUCACCGCGUGUACUUGACCGGCCGGGCCUUCUCUUCUGGAGAACCUCAUGCCCUUUACUGGGCGUGUUGGGGACCAGGACUUUUACUUUGAAAAAAUUAGAGUGUUCAAAGCAGGCCUUUGCUCGAAUAUGUUAGCAUGGAAUAAUAGAAUAGGACGUGCGGUCCUAUUUUGUUGGUUUCUAGGACCGCCGUAAUGAUUAAUAGGGACAGUCGGGGGCAUCAGUAUUCAAUUGUCAGAGGUGAAAUUCUUGGAUUUAUUGAAGACUAACUACUGCGAAAGCAUUUGCCAAGGAUGUUUUCAUUAAUCAGUGAACGAAAGUUAGGGGAUCGAAGACGAUCAGAUACCGUCGUAGUCUUAACCAUAAACUAUGCCGACUAGGGAUCGGGCGAUGUUUCAAUAUUGACUCGCUCGGCACCUUACGAGAAAU
rnacentral:rRNA from 2 species